GCAGUGCCGUGCUGGCUCCCCGCCCGCUUCCCGCCUCCCCCCCUCGCGGGCCGCCAUGUUGUCCCCCGGCGCGGCGGCCGUGGUGGAGGCGUGACGAAGCAGAAAGGUUGCAUCGGAGCCCUUCCUUUGACGCAGAGGAGGAGUUCUGCGUGCAGCAGGGCCACAUGUCAGCAGGAGAAGUUGUCAAGCUCUCCCCACCCGUCACACCCCACCAGGGCCUGUCUGUAAGAUUGAUGCUUUGGAGGAUCUCUGAGUAUUUCUGAAGAACUAAAGAAUUAUGCCUCACAGCAGCCCAUAAGGUGGUAAGUAUUAUUACUAUAUUUUGUAGACGUGAAAGAGUUGUGGGAUAUUGAUAAACAGAGAAAUUGCCAAAUCAGUCAAGUCAGUGGCAAAUAACUUUUUCCUGUAGAAGAAUAUCACUCUUUCUGAUACAAGGAAGGUACAAUGUUGAUAUGCUUCUGCGAACAAGCCGUUGCGGAAUGACUUUAAUUUGAUUGCCCAGG
rnacentral:lncRNA from 1 species